rnacentral:tRNA from 1 species
UCCCUGGUGGUCCAGUGGCUAAGACUCUGCACUCCCAGUGCAGGAGGCCUGGGUUCAACCCCUGGUCAGGGAA